rnacentral:rRNA from 1 species
UUAAGUGACUAAGCGUACACGGUGGAUGCCUUGGCAGUCAGAGGCGAUGAAGGACGUAGUAACUUGCGAUAAGCGUAGAUGAGGCAGUAACAGCCACUUGAGUCUACGAUUUCCGAAUGGGGAAACCCACUGGCAUAAGCCAGUAUCAUUGAGUGAAUACAUAGCUCAAUGAAGCGAACCGGGAGAACUGAAACAUCUAAGUACCCCGAGGAAAAGAAAUCAACCGAGAUUCCGAAAGUAGCGGCGAGCGAAAUUGGAUUAGCCCUUAAGCUUUACAUGUGUUAGACGAACGGUCUGGAAAGUCCGACGAUACAGGGUGAUAGUCCCGUAGUUGACGAUGCAUGUUCAGUGAAAUCGAGUAGGGCGGGACACGUGUUAUCCUGUCUGAAUAUGGGGGGACCAUCCUCCAAGGCUAAAUACUCCUGACUGACCGAUAGUGAACCAGUACCGUGAGGGAAAGGCGAAAAGAACCCCUGUGAGGGGAGUGAAAUAGAACCUGAAACCGUGUACGUACAAGCAGUAGGAGCACCUUCGUGGUGUGACUGCGUACCUUUUGUAUAAUGGGUCAGCGACUUAUAUUCAGUGGCAAGGUUAACCAUCUAGGGGAGCCGUAGGGAAACCGAGUCUUAACUGGGCGCCAUAGUCUCUGGAUAUAGACCCGAAACCGAGUGAUCUAGCCAUGGGCAGGUUGAAGGUUGAGUAACAUCAACUGGAGGACCGAACCGACUAAUGUUGAAAAAUUAGCGGAUGACUUGUGGCUAGGGGUGAAAGGCCAAUCAAACUCGGAGAUAGCUGGUUCUCCCCGAAAGCUAUUUAGGUAGCGCCUCGGACGAAUACUACUGGGGGUAGAGCACUGUUAAGGCUAGGGGGUCAUCCCGACUUACCAACCCUUUGCAAACUCCGAAUACCAGUAAGUACUAUCCGGGAGACACACGGCGGGUGCUAACGUCCGUCGUGGAGAGGGAAACAACCCAGACCGCCAGCUAAGGUCCCAAAUUACAGCUAAGUGGGAAACGAUGUGGGAAGGCUUAGACAGCUAGGAUGUUGGCUUAGAAGCAGCCAUCAUUUAAAGAAAGCGUAAUAGCUCACUAGUCGAGUCGGCCUGCGCGGAAGAUGUAACGGGGCUAAGUUGUAAACCGAAGCUGCGGCAAUGUUCUAUGAACAUUGGGUAGGGGAGCGUUCUGUAAGCCGUUGAAGGUGUGUUGUAAAGCAUGCUGGAGGUAUCAGAAGUGCGAAUGCUGACAUGAGUAACGACAAGGGGGGUGAAAAACCUCCCCGCCGGAAGACCAAGGGUUCCUGUCCAACGUUAAUCGGGGCAGGGUAAGUCGACCCCUAAGGCGAGGCUGAAAAGCGUAGUCGAUGGGAAACGGGUUAAUAUUCCCGUACUUCUUACAAUUGCGAUGGGGGGACGGAGAAGGCUAGGUGGGCCUGGCGACGGUUGUCCAGGUUCAAGUGCGUAGGCUGAGUGUUUAGGUAAAUCCGGAUACUCUUAAGGCUGAGACACGACGUCGAGCUACUACGGUAGUGAAGUCAUUGAUGCCAUGCUUCCAGGAAAAGCCUCUAAGCUUCAGAUUGUAAGGAAUCGUACCCCAAACCGACACAGGUGGUCGGGUAGAGAAUACCAAGGCGCUUGAGAGAACUCGGGUGAAGGAACUAGGCAAAAUGGUACCGUAACUUCGGGAGAAGGUACGCUCUUGAUGGUGAAGUCCCUUGCGGAUGGAGCUGACGAGAGUCGCAGAUACCAGGUGGCUGCAACUGUUUAUUAAAAACACAGCACUGUGCAAAAUCGUAAGAUGACGUAUACGGUGUGACGCCUGCCCGGUGCCGGAAGGUUAAUUGAUGGGGUUAGCGUAAGCGAAGCUCUUGAUCGAAGCCCCGGUAAACGGCGGCCGUAACUAUAACGGUCCUAAGGUAGCGAAAUUCCUUGUCGGGUAAGUUCCGACCUGCACGAAUGGCGUAAUGAUGGCCACGCUGUCUCCACCCGAGACUCAGUGAAAUUGAAAUCGCUGUGAAGAUGCAGUGUACCCGCGGCUAGACGGAAAGACCCCGUGAACCUUUACUACAGCUUGGCACUGAACAUUGAACCUACAUGUGUAGGAUAGGUGGGAGGCUUUGAAGACGUGACG